AGUGAACUCAUGUUAGUUCAGCUACACAUUGACCCCAUGAAGAAUUCUGGAGCUGGGAUCGCCCUUCAGGGCCCUUACGUCCCCGCUGGUGAUUGGAUGUGCGAUUCCCAGGAAGGGGGUGUGACCUUGCGUGAAGCGGCUCUCGACAGGAGAGGCAAGCCCCAGAGGGUCUGACAGCUCAGGGCCACCAGCCGGCAGUACUCCCAGCCCCUCGAGGAGACCUCACAGUGUCCACCAAACCUCCACUGUCAUUUCUCUCUUCCCAUGGCUGCUAACAGGAGCCUUGAAAGAAGGUCCACCCUGGGAAAAGGCACCCUGUGACUGUCUUGCGUCCACCAAGAAGUAAUGACCACAAGAUACUGACCAUGGGGCUUAGGGACUCUUCCCCACUCCCAGCCCCUCACCCUUUGCAAAAGUGCCUUUAGAGGCUAUGCAGGCAACCCCUUUGGGGAGAAAUAUUCUUCUUUCUUGUCAACUCCCUUCUAUACAAGCUAUCUCUAGUAAUAAAUUCUACCUGCUUUCUU